rnacentral:lncRNA from 1 species
CGGUGACAAAGACAAGGAGGGCGGAAGCAACAAUGGAUCCGAGGAGUUGAGCGAUGAUGUAAACGAUACCACGGAGGAGGGUGAUGUUACCACCAACGAAGGCACCGAAGGUGACAGCGGGGUUGACAUGUCCACCGGAGAUGUUAGCACCAACGGAGACAGCAACAAAGAGAGCGAAUGCAUGGGCGAUGGAGGCAGAGAUGAGACCGGCAGGGGUGGCAGCACCGUCGUUGGUAAGCUUGUUGUAUGCGAUACCGGAACCUGAACCGGCAAAGACAAAGAUGAAGGUUGAGAUGAACUCAGCCAAACCUGCUUUCAAGGUGUCUGGGUGAGUUGCCUCUUGAGGUGUUCCUACGGCGAUGUUUCUGAUAGGCAUGUUGAAAUAAUCGCUUUUGUUAACAAACACUCACUCUUUUUUUUUAGUUACUGUGAAAGCGCUUUCUG